UACAGAGGGUGCGAGCGUUGUCCGGAAUCACUGGGCGUAAAGGGCGCGUAGGCGGCCUGAUAAGUAGGGGGUGAAAUCUUGCGGCUCAACCGCAAGGCUGCCUUCUAAACUGUCAGGCUGGAGCACGGUAGAGGCAGAUGGAAUUCCCGGUGUAGCGGUGGAAUGCGUAGAGAUCGGGAAGAACACCAGUGGCGAAGGCGGUCUGCUGGGCCGUUGCUGACGCUGAGGAGCGAAAGCGUGGGGAGCGAACAGG
rnacentral:rRNA from 1 species